CACUCACCUAUAUAUAUAUGGACCACUCACCUAUAUAUAUAUAGAGUCCGGCUACUAUACUCUUAUGAGUAUAGAGACUCUUGUACUCAUAAAUUUUUGGCCGCUAGAUCUACCCUUUAAUUAUUUUCACCCGUUAGAUUAUACUACUCAACCAACCACUCACUCAACCCUAAGGGGCCCACUAUCAACCUAACCGUAACCAUUCUCAUCUUAACCGUACAUUUUUUUAUUUAAACGGUCGAAAACUUAUGAGUACAAAGGGUUCUAUGCUCAUAUGAGUAUAGUAGCUCCAGCCUAUAUAUAUAUAUAUAUAUAUAUAUAUAUAUAGAAUUAGGCUACUAUACUAUCUAUAGUACCGAGCUCCGGUACUAUAGUGUUUGUUUUCGAUCUUAGGGCGUUCAAAUCAACGAUCCACACCGUUAAAUAUGAUCUAGGGUAUAUGAAUUUCUUAGGAAUAAAAUUUUAGUUUUAUUUGAGCAUAGGACUUUUAAAUUCAAGAUCAAGAAUGUUAAUCUUAAUUUAUAUAGUUUAAAGUAUUUUCUAUCAAAAUUUGAAGAAAUUUAGAUCUUAGUACACCGUUAAACUCCAAACUCGUCAUAAUAGUCAUUGAAAAUGACAAUUUUGAAAUAGUUUGAUCAUAAUAAAUUAUGUCAAAAAUAUAAAAUUUAUUUUAGAAACUUUAAAUACCUAGAUCAGGUUUACGUGUGGAUCGUUGAUUUAAACACCUAAGAUCGAACAACACAUAUAGUACGGAGCUCGGUACUAUAGAUAGUAUAGUAGCAUAGCUCUAUAUAUAUAUAAUAUAUAUAUAAUAUAUAUAUAUAUAUAUAUAUAUAUAUAUAUAUAAUAUAUAUAUAUAUAUAUAUAUAAUUUUAUUUUAUUUAUGAAUAUAUAAUAAUUUAUUUAUAAAAUUAAAUAUAAAUUAUAUUAUAUAUUUAUUAUAUAUAUAUUUUAACUAUAUCUUGUUUAUAAAUUAAAUUAUAAUAUAUAUAUAUAAUAUAUAUAUAUAAUAUAUAUAUAUAUAUAUAUAUAUAUUAUAAUAAUUUUAUUUUAUUUAUAAAUUUAUAAUAAUUUAUUUUAUAAUAUUAAGAUAUAUAUUUAUUAUAUAAUAUAUUUUAAAUAUAUCUUGUUUAUAAAUAUAAAUUAUAAUAAUUAAAUAUAUUAUGAUAAUUCUUAUAUAUUAAUAAUAUAUAAUAUAAUAUAUAUAUAUAAUAGGAGAAAAUAUAUAUAAUAAUUUUUCACAUAUAGCAUAAUAAUAAUUAUUAUACAUUAAUAAUAUAUAUAAUAAAAAAUAUAUUAAGUGGUUUUUUAUUUUUUUCUUUUCUUUUUAACCAAACAAACGUCACGGAAAACUAUUUUUCUUUUUCUACAAACCAAACACAAAAGAUGUAAAAUUUUUUUCCUACCGAAAAUUUGUUUUCCAUCGAAAUUUUUUCUUUCCAUAGUUUUACGUGGAACCAAACAUACCCUUAGCCUCCACAACUCGGCUCUGGCUAGCGCUUCGUCAAAUUCAAGCCAACCCGAACUCAAUUCAGUUCGCUCGAACUCGGCUCAUUGACACCUCUAGCUACUGUCCCCAAGUUCAACAUUUUCUCAUGAGCUUAGAAGAUCAUGAUCCCUUCGUCCCUAUCUCGGGGUGGAGCCGGCCGGGCCUAAACAGGGCUCACGGAGCCAGACUUUCAGCCUGCAAAAUCGAUUUCCGCUACGGUCGGGCUUCCGUAUUUACACCCAAAAUACUUUUGGGCUUAUUUGGACUUGUUCAAAUCCGAUCCGAGUAUGAUCAAGAGCCCACAAAAGUACCGAUCGUCUUUAAUGCAGGUGUGAGGUGGCAAAAGAUUUGAUGGUUGGUAUCCGAUAUCUCAAGUUCGAAUCCAAAUUGAUUCACAUUUUCAGCUAAAUUUAUUUUUUAAAAAUUAAACGAAACAGGUAAAAUGCUACAUUUCUUUCUCUCUCAACAAAAAAGCCCAUAAUAGUGAGUGUGUUGCACUCACAUAAUUUCUGUUCGAAAAUGGGUCUAACCAGCUUUGCACUUGGGUUCAGGUUAGGUUUUAGUCAUUUUGAGCCGAAGACGAGCCUGAUGUCGAACUAAUCAUUUUGAGUCAGACUCGUAUUUUGGUUUAACUUGAUACGAAUUCAGUUCCGGUCCAUUUGAACAAUUUAACUAAAGAUAAGAAACAGUUUGAAAGUAGAAAAUCAAAAUGUAAGGAGCAUGCGAGUACCGUGAGCUCGACGUCGAUCGACUCCCAUCCCGCCAAAGUUGAAAAGUUGAUAUUCAAUGAGAAUUCGAAUAAUCUCGUAACUUCAGUGUUCGAAAUAAAUUCCCGCUUACAUUCUGAAAUCCGCACAAUCAAUCUAGCUAUAAGAGGUGUUAGGUUUUUGUUAAACUCAAACAAUAGAUUCUGUGAUAAAAAAGAAAAGAAAAAAAAAAUGAACGAAUCGAGCCCGAAUAAUCUAAUUUCACGUUUCAACUAGGGAUGUCAAUAGGUACGGAUACCCGAAAUUUUAUCCGAAUCUAAAUCCGAACGGAACGAAUUUAUCCGAUGCUAAAUGGAUAUGGAUAUCAAAAAUAAAAUCCGAUAGAUAUGGAUAUGGAUAUGGAUUUUGACUAUACCUGAUCUGAAUCCGAACCCGACCUGAAUCCGAAUUUAUUUUACAUUAUAUAUAAUAUGUAUAUGAAAAUUUGAUAUUAUAUUUAAAUUUAUAUUUUAAAAUUUUAAAUUUAAUAUAAUAUAUUUUGAAAUAUUGAAAAGAGAAUAAUUAUUUCGGAUUCAUAUUUACGGAUUCGGGUUCAGGUUCGGGCUUCGGGUUUUUGGUUGGUUCGGAUUUGGAUAUAGAUUUUUAAAAUUCGUUAGGUUCAGAUUCGAGUUUGGGUUCGAAUUUCGAAUUUGAAGUCGGGUUAGGAUUCGAAUUUUUAAAAAUCCGUCCCAAAUUUGACCCGACAUCCCUAAUUUCAACUUAAUUAAAUCCCAAUUCAACUACAUUUUUUAUUUUUAUAUACGCGUUAUCUUUUAUUUUUUAUCAUUAGAAUAAGGAUUGGAUAAGCAUUCACCGCACACCACCCGUCCCCACGCCAUUUGGAUGAUACGGAAUCAUAGUCGCCACCGAUUCUUCUGAGUCGCUGUCUCACUCUUAUCCAUCCGUCAGAUUCUUUUUUUUUUUUUUUUUUUUUUUUUUUUUUUUUUUGGUUAUCUAUUCUCCAAAGUAAGCUUAUUUCUAAGGCUAAAUUACACUUUGAUCCUCAAACUAUAAAUUACUUGACAUUUUGGUCAAGUAUUCUGAAUUAUUGUAAUUAUGUCUCGUAAUUAAAUUUAGUUGACUAGAUAUUAGUAUGCCACUAAUAUAAUAGUUAUGUAGCAGUGUUGUGGUGGAUGAUAAGAUAGUAAUUAAGAUGUCACAUUAUUUACAUCAGUGAUGCAUCAAUAUUUAAUCAAUUAAAUUAGAUUGUGGACAUCAGCGAUGCGUCAAUAUUUAAUUAAUUAAAUUAGAUUGUGGGACUUGAUCGUAAUAGUUCGUAAAGUUCGAGUCUGAAGAUAUAACAUUAGAGAAACAAAAAUGUUGCACAUAGUUUGAGAGAAAAAAAGUGCAGUUUAGUCUAUAUCUGAUAGAACAAUACUAUUUAUGCACCAAUAUGGGGGGCGUAAAUCAUAUACCUCAUAGGACUUUUUAGCUCAUAUUCCACUUGUCCCGUCAAGUUUGUUUAAACUAAAUUUUUUUAAAAAAAUUUAUCAAUCUUUAGAUCUUAAGAUGUAAGAUUUAUGUCCCCUACAAAGGGUGUACAAAUAGCAUUUUUGUUUCUAAAGAUGUGUUUAGGUUCGAAGUUUUACCGGUAUUCACAAAAUGUGGUUUUUUUUAUGAUAUUAUACGUCUAAAUUUAUACAAAUAUGGAGGCUCGUAAUUUGAUAUGGGCCAAGAGACACCUUAUUAUAAGAUAAACUAUACGAAGAUAUUUUAAUUAUAAUCUAUUUAAAUAACAAACACAAUAUAGAGUAGUUUAGAAAGUGUAGGUUUUUUAUAUUUAUAAGAUCGAGAGUUCAAACCCCAGAAUGAUGAAGAGCCUCUCAACUUAAAGUUAUAUUGAAUUUGAUCAAACUACAUUAUUUUCUAGUUUCAUUUAUUUUGAUUUCAGUUAGUCUAGUCCAUCAAAUUGUAAAUUUUGUUAAAUCUAAUAAUUUCUUAAUCUAUAAUAAGUCUUUAAUUAUUUCUGCACUACCUUUUAGCCAAAAAAGCAAUCAAAAUAGUUAAAUUUAACAAAAUCACUACUUAAUUUAACAAAUUAAAAUAAAAAAGCCAAUUUGCAUAAAAAUUCACUAGUUUUGCGAUUUUUCAAAAGUAGGCUACUAUUUUGAAUUUUAGAUAUUCGGACCGGAUUUUCAAUAAACCGGCCAAAGUAUCCUUANUUUUUUUUUUUUUUUUUUUUUUUUUUUUUUUUUUUCCUUCUUGUUGGCUUAAAUGGACCAGCAUUCUGCCCUAUGACGGGAGGCCAUGUUGGGCCGAGUCAUGUUCGAAAUGGCGUGAGGCUGAGUGGGCCCAGUUAUGUUCGAAGUGGCGUGAGGCUGGUUGGGCUGAGUCACAAUCGAGACCCGUGAGCGCUGUAUCUGUACGCUUUAAGUAAAUUGGUUGCGUAUUUCUAACAGCUCGAGCUUUUGGAAUUAAUGGUUAGCACUAACGACCAACAAGUGAUAUCAGAGCCAGAGAUCACGGGUUCGAUUCCCGUAUGCUGCAAAUAUGUGUAGGUACUGAAGGGGAGAUUGUUGGCUUAAAUGGGCCAGCAUUCUAUCCUGUGGCGGGAGGUCAUGUUGGGCCGAGUCAUGUUCGAAAUGGCGUGAGGUUGGGUUGGCCGAGUCAUGUUCGAAGUGGCGUGAGGCUGGUUGGGCCGAGUCACAAUCGAGAUCCGUCGGCGCUGUAUCUGUACGCUUUAAGUGAAAUGGUUGCGUAUUUCUAACAGCUCGAGCUUUUGGAAUUAUGGUUAGCAUCAAUGAUCCGACACUUCUUUUUUUUUUUCUCCGACCUUUAUCGCCUCCUUCACCACCUCCGUGGCCUCGGCGACGAUAAUGAGGAUAGCGCUACCCUCUCUUCUUUCAUCUCUUCCCUCCACUAGCGCCGGCGGCCCUCGGCGACGGUAACGAGGGCGGUGCCAUUUUCUCUUCCUCUGUCUUCGUCUCCGCCUACGGCGCCUUCGCCGGAGAAGAAAAAGGAGAACUCGGAGAGAGCCUGAGUAAGGGCGAAGCGAACAGAGGCGAUGAGGUUAUUGCCGAAGAGGUGCUCGCCACCCGUAAGGGUGAGGAAAAAAGAUAUGCUUAUCUCUAAGGAGCAAACGAAAAUACAAAGAUUAAAAAAAAAGAAUACAAAGGAAAAAAAAUAAAGAAAAUUUUUUUUCUUUGAAAGACCAUUGUAUAUCGUUGUUGUUACUAAAAAAUUUAAGAAUCAGAGGAAAAGAAAGAAGAAGAUGAAUGUUGCACUAUUAAAAUAAAAUUGUUCUGUUUUAUAAGAAAAUUGCACUGUAUAAUAUGAACGUUAUACUCUUUGGCAUGAAAAUUACACUCUUUAAAAUAAAAGUUGCACUCUUUCGACAAAAAUUACACUAUUUUAGAAAAAAUUGCACUUCUCUCCGACCCUCAUCCCCUCUUCUUCUUCUUCUUCCUCUUUCCUUGACCCCUUUCCUCCUUCCCCCUCUGAUCCCUAUCGUCACCAACGCAAGCCUCUCUAUCCCGCGUGCAACAUUGGAGUGCUGUAACAUAAAAACGAUCUCAUCGCCUUCGUCCGCCUUUUCCUCACUCGGGCCUUCUCCGAGUUCUCCUUCUCCUUCUCCGGCGCUGGCGAAGGCGGAGGUGGAGGCGGAGGCAGCACCGCGCUUGUUACCGUCACUGAGGGCCGUCGGCGGCGGCAGAGAAGGAGAUGGAGAAAGCAAGAUAGAGGAAAUAGAGGUAGUGCCGCCGUUGUUACCGUUACCGAGAGCUGUGGAGGCGGUGGAGAAAGUGGUAAGGGUCGAAGAGAAAAAAAAAAAAAAAGAACGAAGGAAAACAAAAGAAGAGAGAGAGGUAGCUCGUUUCCGUGUUUUGGCACUCUGAUUAAACGCCCGGGGUAGAAAGGCUCGCAUGGUAGGGUUGGAGAUCGGAGGCAGAGGGUAAGGAGGGGGGUCAAGGGAAUAGAAGGAAAAAGAAGAAGAUGAUGCGAUGAGGGUCGGAUAAUAGUGAAAUUUUUUUCGAAAUAGUAUAAUUUUUAUUGAAAGAGUGCAACUUUUACUUUAAAGAGUGCAAUUUUUAUCUAAAAAAUCGUAACGUUCAUAUUAAAUAGUACAAUUUUUAUAUUAAACAAUGUAAUUUUCUCCAAAAAAAUUAGUAAAAUGAAUAAUAAAAAGAGAAAAAUGAAACAACAGGAUACUAACUUGAUACACUUUAAACCAUAGAGUACUAAAGUGAGAAAAUGCGAAACCACAGGGGCAAACUUGAUACACUUUAAACCACAUGAUACUAAAGUGAGAAAGUGUGAAACCACAAAGGAGUAUUUGAAGUUUACCUUAAUAAUAAAAAUAAAACUGGAAAUUUGGGAAAAAUAAAAAAAUAAAAAAUUGUGUCAUGAGACACAUACAGAUACAAUUAAACGUCACAAAUUUCAUAUCGUUUUAGCUAAUAAAAAAAAAGUAUUUCUAAUAUUGUGUGCUUCCGCUGUUAAGCUAAUAGUAUUUAGAUAAUAUUUUAUUAAAUAAUACUAUCUAGUUCAGUAAGAUAAAAUAGACUCUAAAAUAAAGCUUCCUUAAAACUCGGGCUAAACAUAUAUCCAUACAUAAUCAACAAAAUUUAGCCUCUUCAUUACUGUUUUAAGUAAACCAUUAAGAAUUUGCAUUCAUGGAAAAUCAGCAAGGUGGUUUAGAGACUUCGUUAAGGGACAAUUUUGUUUACUUGUAGUUGAAAUUAAAUUAUAGUUUUUUUUUUUGUUAUGAAAGAGAUAGCACUUUAUCAGCUUCAUUUAUUGGAAAAAUGAACUAGACUACAGGGGUGAGAUAGGUAGGGCCUCGAGGAAAAAAAAAAAAAAAAAAAUCAACUACUUUCUACAGUUAUAUAUUAUAGAUUACAUACAGUUGGGUUGCUACAGAUAGAGAGAGAGUGAGAGCAGCAUAACAAAUCACGCUUCCAGCGUGAAGAUGACACAUGCAAUGUGCAUGAUGCAUGCAUUAGCUUUUUCCUUUUUACAUAUAUUAUUACUAUUUUAAGUUAAAUAAAGGAGAAGAUUUUUUUAGGAAAAAUGUAUGAGACCCCCCCUCAACUAUAGAUCUUUGGCUAAAAAUCAACUACUUUUUUUCGAUUGAGAUCAACUCAAUUUCUUUUUUUUUUUUUAAAAAUUUUGAUUUUUUAUAUUUAACUAAGUUGAAAUUUUUAUGAAAUAUAAUAACUCUAUUAGUUAUUAGCCAUAUAAUUAAGCUACCAACCGUUUUUAGUUCAGAAUGGAGAGAGCUUGAUGGUAUCUUUCUCCGAAAGAAAAAUCUAUAUAAUUAAACUAAUUUUAUAUACUAAAAAAUUAUGAGUAUUAAUAUUUAUAAAAUUAUUAAUAAUUUUAAUAAAAUUUUUAAAUAUUUUGGCAAAAAAUUAUUUAGUUUGAAAUAAUUUAGAAAUUGAGGGGUCGUAGUUAAAAAUAAAAGGUAAAAAUCUAUAGAACUUAUACGGACUAUAUAGGCUAUUUUGAUUUGACUAUUUAAUUUUAUAAAAUUUUAAUUUUACUAUCCAACUUUUCAAUUUGUUUAAUUUAAACUAGUAAAUGACAUUUUAACUUUAAAAUUUAAAUGUGCUGUUUAUUUUUAUAAAUUUAGUUAUUAUAUUUUUAUAUAGUUCUCGAAACUAUAAAUUAAUUAAAAUAACUAAUUUAUUUAAAAUUUAAAAUUAAAAUAUUAUUAAAUAAUUUAAAUUAAAUAAAUUUAAAAAUUAGAUAGUAAAAUUAUUUUUUUAAAAUUAGAUAGCUGAUUCACAGUAAUCUAUAGUUUAUAUAAAUUUUGUGUUUUUUUAUCCACAAAAAAAAAAAGAAAGAAAAGAAAAAGUUGAGUGAGCUGUUUCAGAAUAGUUUACAGUUGAGGGGUUUCUGUACAAAUGUACCAAAACUUUUUUCCUUAACAAGUAUAGAGAGUAAUAAUAAGAGAGAGAUUGAGACAUGGGACCCACCACCAUACCCCCUCCCACCGACAAAUAAUAAUAACGCUCUCCAAACCCCGACUCCUCCUCGUCUCUCUCUCUCUCUCUCUCCCCCCUCCUCCUCUUUGGUAAAACCCUCUCUUUUACCCCAAUCUCGCAGCAAAUCAAAUGCUCCCCACUCCUCUCGAUCCCUAGGGUUUAGGGUUUCCACCUCGCCACCUCUUCUCCCCCUUCCCCAAAGUCGAUCCGAAGCCAUGGCGUCGUCGUCCUCGCCGCCGCCGUCGUUGUCGUCGUCGUCGUCGUCGUCGUCGGGGUUCUUCGCGAUAUGCGUGCUGCACGCGGCGGUGGCGGCGGCGUGCGGGGCGCUGAUGAUGUUCUACGUGGACGAGGCGGCGGCGUUCGGGCACGGGCGCGAGGCGGCGCGGCGGCUCCGGGGCUCGACGCCGCGCGACCGGCUCCUGAUCGAGACCUCCGACUCGUUCGCGGGGCUCCUCCUCUUCGCCAUCGGGCUCCUCCUCUUCAUGGUCGCCUUCGUCCGCGACCGCGAGUUCCAGGCCUUCUUCGCCAAGGGCUGCGUCCUCCUCCACGCCGCCGUCGCCCUCUGGCGCCUCCUCUUCGAGCGCCGCCUCGACGACCUCGCCCGCGACCUCCCCCGCCAGCUCGUCGGCGACCUCGUCCUCGGCCUCUCAUGGAUCCUCUUCCUCAUCUACUCCUGGCGCGAGAAGUACGACUGAUCCCCUAAUUCUCUCCCCCACCCCCAUCACCCCGUCGCGGCCACCGCCGCCGCCGUAGGUAUGAUCCUACUUGUAAAGCUUUCUCCCUUUCUUUUUUCCUUUUUUUUUUUUUACCCGUCAAUUAUCGCCCGUAAAAGUUAAGGAGAAUGAGGUUUAUGAGCUCCUGAUGCUGUAUCUUUCACCCAAAAAAAAAAAAAGAAAAAAGAGAGCUUUUUUUAAUAUCAAAUGGUAGUUGGAUGGUUUGUUUUAUUUUAUUGAGUACUCUUGAUUAAUUGGUGGAGUUUUGGUUUGGGAAAAGUGCGUCUGAUGAUAUGUAAGUAUGUGAAUUAAGUGCUAUAGCGAAAUUUUAUGAUGUAUUAUCAUCUCCCAUAAGCCAAUUGGCAACUGAUUAUGCGUGUACUUGUAGGAGUUGAAUUACUUGGCAAAUUGAUUCGAUUUUAAUGUUAUUUUGAUUGCGGAGGAUCAUUUUCUUCUGCAUUUUGUUGUCUCCGACAGAAACUGACGGAAAUUGAUGAAUUUUUUAAGUAAUCCUUUUCUCGUUUUUAGAUGUGAAAACUCAAUUUUGAUGGUUACUGAUCUUUCUAGAAAAUCGCUUUAGAAGCUACCAGUUGGUAUACAUGGAUAUCAGAACAAAAAGAAACUUCAUGUAUGCACUGUGAACAGUUAAUACAUCUCUGUUGUAAUUUGUAGCCUGAUCAACCAAUCAAUAAGGAUAUUUGCUAGUUUGAAACUUUCCAUAGUGCCUGUAACAGUUCUACUGACAUUUAACAACUAAACGACAAGUAAAACUUAUGAAUUACAAGAACCUCUUGACCAGGAAUCUGGAUUUUGCAGUUCCAACGCAAACUCCUUAUGCUGAUACAACAUUUUGCCCUGUUUUUUUAGAAACAUGUAACAGUGAAAUUCGUUUCUCUUUUUGGAGGGUCUAUUGUUUAAUAAGCAAUUAGUUUGUGUAAAAGAGUUCUCUCUUCUAAGAUACAAGAGACCAAACAAUUGAUAUUUUGCAACUCCCAUAGCAAGAGAAUCUGUGUAUCUGUUAUCUAGAUGGAUUAUAAAGUACUCAUCUUUACGUACGUAUGCCCUUUUCACUAUAUCCUGUGCCUUUUAAAAGUGAAAUCUACUCUUCAUAGUUGAUAUCGGUCUUCUGCACAUUUUCUCUUUCUAGAAAUAGCAGCAUGACAGCUAGCAUUGUGCUUUGGCAAGUUAACAACACUUGCGGCAGUUUCUCUGAGAUUCGUUGAUUUUCCUCGUGCUGUUGGUUGUGUGAUAACUCAAGGUUAAGAAAAGCAUCGAAAAGUGAUAGUCUUUAAUGACUGAUUCUCUAUCUGAUGUGAGCAUACUAUCAAUUGCUCCCUAGAUCCUGGGCUAAGGCUUGUGUUGGAGCCAUUGAAGUAUAGAUGAGACAAUCAGAAUGCUUUUAAAACCCGAGGAUUGAUGUUUUGCCAUGGCUUCAAGCUUUCUAGUGUUUGUUGAAAUCUCUUUCAUUUCUAUGUACUUCUAGAUACUCACAUUGAUAUCAUGUAUUUAAGACUGAUUUACAUUAAAAUUUUAAUAAUGAAACUUGUAGAGCCAUUAUUGAAAGUUAUGGAUUGUUUUAUUAGAAAUACAUUGUUUUAGCAUUCUUUGGCUAUACCUAAAAAGGAAGAUUUAGAUUGCAAUGGAGUUUUCCUUACCAUACAUGACGAAAUUAUUGAAAUGUCACAAUUUUAUUAUGUGUACUUUUUUCACUGUGUCCUCUCUUCUCCAUCUCUAAUUCCUUUCUCUUUCGACUUCUACGUGCAUUAGAGAGAUUAUUUCUUUUCUUUCAAAUCUCAUAUGAGUUUCUGGUCGGUCCAAAAUAACUUGUCAAUCUUCUGUUGCGCCUACAUGCAAAAUCUCAUAUUGAGCAUGGCUUCCAAUUGUUUUGUUAAUUUUAUUUUUCCUACGAAAGCAGAAGCAUGGUUAUCAAAUACCUUUAACUAAUAUCAGUUGCUUGUUGUCAGUAUUCUUUCUGUAUAUACUGUUUGGGAGAACUUUUAAUACCCCUUGAGUUAUAGCUUUAUUUCAUUAUAAUGCACCGUGUUUCAGAUUGUAGCACUCUAAUAUGGGGUCUAUGGAGUUUUUCCUCUCAUCUUUUUGUCUAAGAUAUGGUUUUCAGAGAAUGGAAUGAUUUACCUUGCGAAUUAUUAGUGAAAUACUAGAUCUGAAAGAGUAGCAUUAGCAAUCAACAUUAUAAUGUUGAAAUUUGUUUGUCGAUGCAUUGUGAACUUCAGCUUUUAUUUGUCAGUUGUUUCAAUUAGCAUGCGAUUAUCUAUAGCUAGACUAGCAAAAUAUUACCAGAGGAAAAAUGCGUUCUAACGAUAUCUGCGGUAUACUUUCGUCAUAAUUUUACACAUGUUCUGUUCUUCGAUUUCAUUAGUGUUUGCUGUACAUUUGAGCAUCAGAGUCCCCACUGUCUUUUGUGAUUGUUUAAGUUAAAUCCUUUCCCUAAUCUUGAAGUCAUUCUGCUUUUCUCGUCUAGUUAACGAAUAAUUAAAAGUUGAACUUCGUUCGGAAAUAUUAAUAUUUCUACGCAUGUUCGUAAUGUGUACGUUCACAGAACUGUUACAUGGAUUUUAAGAAUAAUUUGUCGGUAAGAGUAUCCUUUUUUGGAUGGAGGUAAAAUUAACACAUGUCAGUGGAUCGAAGGCUCUCUAAUAAGGUGUCUUUUGGGAGCUUCUUUCUAUAGUUUUAUCCCUUUCAUAUAUAACUGUUACUCUGCUGUUCUUUUUUCAAAAUUAGUUAUGACCUGCAUUCACCCAGGCAAAGUCACAUUGGCAGUUUUUUUUUUUUUUUUUUUUUUUUUUUUUUUUUUUUUUUUUUGUGUGUGUCCAUGCAUAAUAAUGCAUCUUGUGGGGCUCCUUUUCUCGAGGAAUUCUACACUGUCAUAUUUGCACCACGUCAUCAAUAGUAAAUUAAUUAUAUAUUUUUUUUCAAACAAAAGUAUAAUAAAAAUAUUUUUUUAUAAUUAUGAUGGAACAUAUACUUUUAAAAAAAGAUAAUUUAUUGAUUUUGUUACGCUACGUUUAUCAAUAUAACCAUUGUAUUCUAAAAUUUUUUUCUUUUCUCGUACCAAAAGCUGAGUAGGAUAGUAAACAAUGUGCUGGACAUGUGAUGGAGACGUGCUCGAAUAGUGUCCUGUGUCCUGUGUCCUGUAGGAAAGCCACGUGGCAUCAACAUUCGAUGGUACGUGUCUGUUUGGAUACCUUAUAAUAAUUUUCAUUUUGUUACGGAGAAAUAAUUGUAUAAUACUACGGUAUAUGUUUGGUAAUCUAAGGUUUGAGCUCUUUUUCUAACCACAAAUUUACAGGAUUUUUGAGAUAUUUUUGUUGUUUUUUAUAUGCAUCUAACUAUCUGUUUGUAAGUAUAUAAACACUGUUUUUGAUAAUACCUAAAAAUAUUUUUAAUACAACAAAAUUAGAGUGUAUCUUAGCAGGCCAGCUACUUAAACUGCGAAUUCUCGAGCAAUAUUAUUUCAUAAAUCUGCAAAGAUUCUCUAUUUUUUCGUAUUUUUUAAAUUUCUGCAGUAAAUAGUAUAGGAGUAGGGAACCAUCAUACUUUUUUCCAAAGGGAAAAAAAAAUAAAAUAAAAAUAAAGGGACUCAGUUUAAUCGACGGUUCUGCAGAAGAGGCCGUUUCGAAAAAUAUUAUUUGCAGGUGCUGAAACAUACUCUGCAACUGGGUUUCCAUACUUGAACCUUUUUAUAAAACGAUUAAUUCAUUCUAUUUAAGCCGGAUUAGAGAGAGAAAUUUUACAAUAAAAUUUAACCGGGGUUAGAUAUUUUUAGCAACUAGAGAUUGGGCGCGCCGUCUAUGAAAGUUCUAAUUCCCCAGGUUGGUAAAUAGGAGAGCAAAUUACAUCAUUAUUAACCAAAAUUUUCACCAGACCUCGAUAGAUUUUUGCACUCCAAUUUUCUAGAAUUGGGUAGAGCUCAAUCUUCAUUUUUUAUACUUAGAUUAUAUAUGAUUCUUUCUAAUGUAGAAAUUACAUGACGGUUGAUUUAGCUGUCGCAUCAUCUUUCAGAGAUAUAGCUACUAGUCAAAUUAAUUCAUGCUCACCGCUAAGUUAUUGACUGAAUUAGCUUAUUUCCCACAGAUUAUCAUAUAAUCUGUAAUAAAAAAUUUAACAAUACCGACUGUUCCUAGAGCAAGUGGCAAAGGGCUUGGUGGUUGGUACUCGAGACCCAAGUUCGAGUUCCAGUUGAAUCACAUUUCCAAUUAAGUUUAUUUCUAAAUGAAAUAAACGAAGCGGGUAGCGUGCUAUCUAUUUCUCAAAAAAAAAAAAAAAAUUUAACAAUUGAAUCAAUUACCGCUACAUUUCUCUAUUACUCGAAAAGAAAAAUAUUUUGCUUACAAAUGAAUUUCACAAUAAUUCACAAAUUCUACAGCUUAAUAGAUGGAUUUCAAUUUUGGUAUUAAAAAUCAUGCUUGCCUCCACGUAAUUUAUACUUUACCACUAAUUAAACAUCGCAACUUAUGCUAAUUUGUAAGGUAUUGUAUUUUUUUUUUUUUUUUGUAAAUAUAUCAAUACUCAAUAGAAAAAUUAAGGGAUCAGGCAAAGUAGCUCGAUUAAUAUUUAAAAAAAUGGGCCUGGUGAUUCUUAUUGUAACAAAUUAAACUCCAGCAACAUCAAUACCUACCUAUACAUUAUAUCUCUUGGUGUUUGCCAGGUGGCAAUUUCUCCUUCACCCCUCAUUUUCACUCCAAAAUUUUUACUCUCUAAUCAUUGCUUUUAUGUAACGUCGCUUCCAUGUAACGUCUGCCUCUUCGGCUUUCCAUCUCAUUAAUUCAUUUCCUGUAAUGUCUGCCUCUUCGGUUUUCUGUCUUAUUAAUUCAUUUUCCGUAACGUAUGUCUCUUCGGCUUCCCAUCUCAUUAAUUUCUUUUCUAUAACGUCACUGCUUCGACUUUCCCCUCAUUAGUUUCUAUUUUCUAAGAGGCGUUGCCCGAGAAGCCCGUGGGCACGGCAUAUGACGUCCUCGACAACGACCUCGCCUACUGCAUCCGCUCUAAUCUCAAGCCCCACCGGCGUGCCGCCCUCGCUCUUGCCGUCAAUGUCGAGUGAGUCAAAUUCUAACCCUAGCCUCGAACCUUCCUCCCUCGAUCUCGACCACUUAAAUUUGUAAUGUAUAGUUAUAGUGUGUAUCUCUCUCCUCUAAUGGUCUCGGAGGACGCAAAGUAUCGGCUAAGAUAUAGACUUGCCGAAAAGUGGUUGAAGGCGCUGUGAUACUUUACGAAAUUGUCGGUGUUAGCAGAGAAUGCCCUAAAGGAGGAUACAAAGGGAUCCGAUUUCUAUAUAACAAAUUUUUUUCUCCUAUAAUUUUUUUUUUAUCCUUCGUUGUUUUUCAUUGAAUUAUAAUUUUAUUCUAAAAAUUUUAAAGUAUUUUUUAUAUUAUUAAAUUUAAUCAAAUAUAAUUAUAUCCGUCGCAUCGCGCGGGUUCCUACACUAGUGAGAAAAAAUGUUGGAAUAAUAUUGGUGAUCAUCACCCAACUGGUAAUCUAGUGACCGAGUACAAGCCUAUGAAUGCCCUCAAAUAGAAGUCUCCAUUUUUAUUUUAAUCUAAAUUAUACUAUCACAUCACUUCUACAUUAUUAACAUAAAAAUAUUAAAUAAAAUAAAUUAUUAUUAUAAAAUAUAAUUAUAAUACUUUAUAAAAUUUUCGCCAACAAUUUUCAUAAAUUAAAAUUUAAGGACCAAAAAUGUAACAUACAAAUCAAAGUAUCCCGCACUCUUAUUGAGGAGUUCUUAAUUCACUACCACGCACUAGUUUUGCUUCUAUCCAAAAAUUAUAAUCCUCCUCUCAAAUUUUUUUUUUUUAAAAUUCUAAUAUUAUAAAAUAUCUAACAAAUUUUUAAAAAAAAAUAAAAUUGACACGUGACAGUCAAUAGAGGGCUCCUAACCCGUAGGGAUGCAAAUGGUUCCAGGUUACUGGAGUUCCCCGUUUUGAAUGAGGCGGUAGGUGGGAACAAAAAAUGUAAAAAUAAUAAUCCGCUCCCAAUCCGCAUUGAUCCGCCAAAUAAAUGGAGCGAGAGACGGGAUACAUUUUUCUUCCUUUAAUCCGUUCCGAUCCGUAAAAAAUCAGCCAAAAAUUCACCCCGGUCCGAUUUAUCCCUAAUGAGACGAUAAAUGGGAACCAAAAAUAAAAUAAAAAAUAACCCGUCUCAAAUUCGUCCCGCACCAACAAGAAAUGAAGAGGAAGCUGGGAAACCUUCUGGCCUCCGGAUCUGUCCCGUUUGCAUCCCUACUAACCAGGCUUUGUCAAGGGAGCUCUCGACGAAAGUUUUAUAAAUUAUAAAAACUUAAUAAAAAGUUUUAAAAAUAUUAAUGAUUUUGUAAAAAUUAUCAUUUAAAAAAAAAAAAAUUGAAGGCUUUCAUUUCAAAAUUACCUGCAGAGCAGUCUUCUUUCCGCUGCGCCGGACCCGAAAACCCUAAAACAAGAAAAGUCGGCAGGAGUUGAGUGCAGAAAGUGCUGCGAUUGGGAGGGAAAAAGAAGGAAGAAAGAAAGAAAGAGAGAGGAAGAGAGAGGAUGCUGCAGUUUCCGGCGUUCAUGCGGCAGUUCCCGUCGCCGCCGCUGAUCCCUUCGUCCACCCUCCUCCCUGUCUGGACCGUCGCUCAAGACGACGAGCUCCUCCUCGCCAUGGCCGAGUCCGAUCUCGAAGAGAAGGUAGAAUAAAUAUUCUUAUCUUUACAAUCCCUCCGUCCCCUUCUUGCUUGUCGCAACUCUUGCGAUCUAAAUCUCAGAUUACCUCGUCGUGAAUUCCUGCUUGUUUUGGAGCAGGAUUGUUGAGUCUAAAUAUUUUAAAAAAAAUGCACCGCUUUCUGACUGACUGACUGACUGACAGCGUAAGAAUUAUUCGACAUGGUGUCAGAGCAGAGCUUUCGAUUGUAAAUCCCAUUAGUGUUUCCGGACAUGAUAGGGUCGUUGAAUAUAAAUAGUAAAAAUACUGUUUGCUGACAACUUAAGCUUUUAGAGUUCGUUUGAGGGAGAGGUUACUAAUGAUGCCUAUAAUGAGAAUGCCUCGUAACUCAUGAUAAUCUAGUAUUUCUAGAUAUCUCUAGUCAUUUGUAAUAAUUUCGCUACUUUAUUAACGCUUUUUAUAACUAUCCAACUUCAGUUGAUUGUUUAAUUGAUUUUAAUUUUUGCGAUAGCAAAUAUGGAGGAUUACCGGAAUAUUAGAAACCAUGAACCAAACGACCGCUUCGAGGAUGAAACUGGAUGCUUGAAGCGAUUUGUGAUUUAGUUUGAAGGCGAUUAAUAUAACCAUGGAAGAUUUAAUUCGUAGAGAGAUUUAACCUGUGAUUUUUGGUGGUUCAGCCUCCUCUGCUGUGUAUAAUAACGGAGGUUAAUCCUUUACAACCGAUCACCAGGCGAUUAAUAAAUAUGCCGUCCUUCCAUCUCCAUCUCAUGUGCAUCUUGCAGUCUUCUCGCCUUUCCUCAUGCAAUCCAUCUUCUUCAAAUCAUGAGGCUUUCAAUUCAAUUUACGUGCAUCUCAGCAUGAAAAGUAGCGGGAUAGUUUUGGUUCUUUCUAGAAGAGAUUUCCUAUCAUGGAAGUAUCGUGAACAGACUGCCUAUUUAAAAUAAUUUCUCUGGAUAGAGAUCUACUACUGUAAUCCGAAAUAUGCCGCGUGUAAAAGAAGUCGAUGAUGUGGAUUCAAUCCAUGGGUUAAUAAUUAUUGUCACAAUUAUAAAACCAGCCCCUAAUAUCUAUGAUGUUUUCAACAGAUUUGCCAGCACAAAUGGCUUUUUAUGACUACGUUUAGUAGGUGACGGCUCUGUCCAUAUUGAGUUAUGCAACUGAACGUGAUUUAACUAAAAUUGAGGGAUCUCUCGUCGCCCCGCGAAUGUACUUUGAUAUGUAAUUACUUGUCGCCAUGAAAGCAAUGUAAUGUUCUUCCUAUACAAGUGGCCUCCCAUUUUUGUCUCAAAUACGUACUGCAAUCAUCGUAGUAGUUAGUACUGCCUUAUAUCACCGACUAGUCAAGCAACUAACAGAUUAAGCAUAUUUAGGUUUAGCAUAAGCAUAUUUAAGUGUAAAAGGACACUCAUUCGGAGGCCUAGGAGUUAGUGGGGAGAAGCAUUGAGGGUGUCGUCUUGGUUCCUCUGUUGAUCUUAGGGCUUAAUUCAGCUAUUAUAUUGCUUCGAUGCUAUAAUUUCUUAGAUAAUAUCAGGUAGAAGGUGGUUUGUUUUUCUGAGACAGAAAAGAAGAUGAGAAAGCUGGUUGCUUUCUUUACUCCUACUUCUCCUCUGUAGCAGACACUGACAGUGAGCUUGUCCGCAGGAUUGGAUGACUCGAUGGGAAGCUCGUGUGUUGUACAUGUUUUUCCUUCCUUUAUUUCAACCUUUAAACUUUUUGCUUUGAAGUUGCGUGGUUUAUAACAUCGCACAGAAUCCAGUGAAAACAUCUAAAUAGCCCUGUUCGUUGAUGCAUAUGUGUGGCACAUUACUUGCUCUAUAAACUUGAUGUUUUCGAGAGGAACUUGUUCGUCGUGCGGCAUUAAUUCUUUUCUUCUUUAAGCCGGUGGUUCACAAGAACCUCCAAGGAGAGAUGAGUUCUGUUGCGAAAGUGGAAUGUUUAUUUUAUUUUACUUUACUUUCUUCACUAUUGUCUUUAUUCCAAGCUAAUUUGUCUCACCUUCUUCCCGGCAUUUAUCAAUCGGAUCGUGUUUGAUGCCUGAUCUGCAGUUGAAUGAAAUCAGAAAGACCAACAGCAACUUGGUCGUGAUUGGUAAAACGGCCGUCGACUACAAGGAAGAGAUAGAUGCCGAAGCGGAAGAUGACGAUGGAGAUAAUGUGGAGGAAUCUGAGGGCGACGAGUUCGAGCAGGAGACCGGUUAAUAUAACCGCACUGUGUAAAUAAAUACAAUUUAUUCUGACAACUUAUCGAAGUUUCCUCUUCGUGCAUUUUCUUUUUCUCGAAAGAACUGCCAUUUGCUUUCUCAAACUUUGGUUGGAUAUGUUGAGUCAAAACUAGAUAAGUGAAAAUCUUAUAUCUGUGUUGUACACUGGAGUGGCCAAUCAAGAUUCAAACCUAAAUAUGCUUAUGCUGAAUUAUUUAUACUUAUGUUUUUCUCAUAGAAUCUCAAUUGGGGCCUGGGAAUUUUGGACCAGGAUCUAAGAUUUGAGAAGGGCACUUUGAGAGAUACUGGAGAGAAGAUCUAUGCAUCUUGAGAGGCAUUUUCACAUGCUCGUUGCUCUGUUUGAUUGGCAAUGUCCUAAUAUAAAAAUGAGUGUUGCUACAUAUGUCCCAAAAAAAAAACCUUACAAUACUGUUGAUGACGUGAUAUUGUUAUUAUUAUAUUCUAAAUAUUAAUUAUUAUAUAUUAAAUAUUAUUAUUAAAUCUUAAGUAUUGUUAUGUGUUAGCCAAUAUAUCAACAAUAUAAUGGGCUGUCCAAAGCAUGCAUAUAUAUAUAUAUAUAUAUAUAUAUAUAUAUAUAUAUAUAUAUAUAUAUAUAUAUAUAUAUAUAUAUAUAUAUAUAUAUAUAUAUAUAAGAGAGAGAGNCUCUCUCUCUAUAUAUAUAUAUAUAUAUAUAUAGAGUUGAGCUAGAAUACUAUCGGUAGUAAACGAGCCGUUUUACUACCGAUUUAUUUUCGAUGAUAGAACUUUCAAAUUGACGAUCGGCUCCGUUGAGCAUGAUCUAUACCACUUGAAGUAUUUAGAAAUCAAAUUUCAAAUCUUUUCGACAACAUUUGCCUAAUGAUCAAAGGGUUUCAAAAUUUGUAAUUUUAAUAGUCAAUAAUAGGCGUUUUCUCGUUUAACAGCGUAAAGAUAUUUAAAUCAAUUGAAUUUUUGUUAAAAAAUUUUUUAAACUAUUUAAAACAAGAUCUAUACUCUUGAUCUUGAUUACAAGACUCCUAUCAUCAUUUUUUAAAGAGUAUUCAUUUUUAGCCAUUUAUUUUUCUGUUCACUUGAUGGAUAAAAGAACAAUAUCGAAAGUGCGCGAAAUUUGAUAUCUAGAUAGUUUAAAUGGUUUAGAUCAUAUUUAACGGAGCCGAUCGUCAAUUUGGAAAGUCUACAUCGAAAUAAAUCAGUAGUAAAACGAUUCGUUUUACUACGAUAGUUUCUACCUCAACUCUCUCUCCUCUCUCUCUCUCUCUCUCUCACUCUCUCUCUCUAUAUAUAUAUAUAUAUAUAUUAUAUAUAUAUAUAUUUUUGCUAGAAUACUAUCGGUAGUAAACAGCUGAUUUACUACCGAUUUGUUUUUAAUGAUAGAGCUUCAAAAUUGAUGAUUGACACCGUUAAACAUGAUCUAAACUAUUUAAACUAUCUGGAAAUCAAAUUUCACACAUUUUUUGAUAUUGUUCUCUUGUCCAUCAAGUGACAGAAAUAAUAAUGGCUGGAAAUGAAAUCCUUCAAAAAAGUGUGAUGAUACAUUUUUAUAUUUGAGAUCUAGAGUCUGAUCUUAUUUUAAAUAGUUUAAAGAAUUUUUUAACAAAAAUUUAGUUGAUUGAACUCUUCUAUACCGUU
rnacentral:lncRNA from 1 species